rnacentral:rRNA from 1 species
AGUUGGCCGGGACUUCUUCUGUAGGUACCGUCAUUUUCGUCCCUACUGAAAGGGGUUUACAACCCGAAGGCCUUCAUCCCCCACGCGGCGUUGCUGCGUCAGGCUUUCGCCCAUUGCGCAAGAUUCCCCA